rnacentral:rRNA from 1 species
GUUUGAUUCUGGCUCAGGAUGAACGCUGGCGGCAUGCCUAAUACAUGCAAGUCGAACGGAGUGAAGCCUUCGGGUUUCAUUCAGUGGCGAACGGGUGAGUAAUACGCAGGGAACCUGGCCAUGGCAGGGGGAUACACUCUGGAAACGGAGCAUAAGACCCCAUAGGCAGUAAGGCGGCAUCGCCUUACUGUUAAAGAAAGCUGAAAGGCUUUGGCGAUGGAUGGACCUGCGGUGCAUUAGCUUGUUGGUGAGGCAACGGCUUACCAAGGCGAUGAUGCAUAGCCGGCCUGAGAGGGCGGACGGCCACACUGGGACUGAGACACGGCCCAGACUCCUGCGGGAGGCAGCAGUAGGGAAUUUUCGUCAAUGGGCGCAAGCCUGAACGAGCAAUGCCGCGUGAGUGAGGAAGGUCUUCGGACUGUAAAGCUCUGUUGCCGGGGAAAAAGGGGAAAUGCAGGAAAUGGCAUUUCAUGGAUGGUACCCGGCCAGAAAGCCACGGCUAACUACGUGCCAGCAGCCGCGGUAAUACGUAGGUGGCGAGCGUUAUCCGGAAUGAUUGGGCGUAAAGGGUGCGCAGGCGGUCUGUUAAGUCUGAAGGCAAAGGGAUGAGCUCAACUCAUUUAUGAUUCAGAAACUGGCAGACUUGAGGACAGGAGAGGGCGGUGGAACUCCAUGUGUAGCGGUAAAAUGCGCAGAGAUAUGGAAGAACACCAGUGGCGAAGGCGGCCGCCUGGCCUGUGACUGACGCUGAGGCACGAAAGCGUGGGGAGCAAAUAGGAUUAGAUACCCUAGUAGUCCACGCCGUAAACGAUGAGGAGCAGGUGUUGGGAGUGAAAUCUCAGUGCCGAAGCCAACGCAGUGACUCCUCCGCCUGGGGAGUAUGCACGCAAGUGUGAAACUCAAAGGAAUUGACGGGGGCCCGCACAAGCGGUGGAGUAUGUGGUUUAAUUCGAAGCAACGCGAAGAACCUUACCAGGUUUUGACAUCGGAUGCGAAGGUGCAGAGAUGCGCUGGAGGUUAACAUCCAGACAGGUGGUGCAUGGUUGUCGUCAGCUCGUGUCGUGAGAUGUUCAGUUAAGUCUGGCAACGAGCGCAACCCCCGUGGUAUGUUACUAACGCUUAGGGCGAGGACUCAUAUCAGACUGCCGGUGACAAACCGGAGGAAGGCGGGGAUGACGUCAAAUCAUCAUGCCCCUUAUGACCUGGGCUACACACGUACUACAAUGGCGUCUACAGAGGGAAGCGACCCUGAGAAGGGAAGCGAAACCGGAAAAGGGCGUCCCAGUUCGGAUUGAAGUCUGCAACCCGACUUCAUGAAGAUGGAAUCGCUAGUAAUCGCGGAUCAGCAUGCCGCGGUGAAUACGUUCCCGGGCCUUGUACACACCGCCCGUCAAACCAUGGAAGCCGGCAACGCCCGAAGCCGGUGGCAUAACCUUUUAGGAGUGAGCCGUCGAAGGCGGGGCCGAUGACUGGGGUUAAGUCGUAACAAGGUAUCC